rnacentral:rRNA from 1 species
UACGUAGGGGGCUAGCGUUGUCCGGAAUUAUUGGGCGUAAAGAGCUCGUAGGCGGUGUGUCACGUCGGCCGUGAAAACCUGCAGCUUAACUGUGGGCGUGCGGUCGAUACGGGCAUCACUGGAGUUCGGCAGGGGAGACUGGAAUUCCUGGUGUAGCGGUGAAAUGCGCAGAUAUCAGGAGGAACACCGGUGGCGAAGGCGGGUCUCUGGACAGUUCCUGACGCUGAGGCACGAAGGCCAGGGGAGCAAACGGG